rnacentral:lncRNA from 1 species
GAGAAAGCACUUGAAGCCUGGUCGGCGAUUUGGAUUCCCAGUUUUUUUAAUUGAAAUGGUACUUUUUCAAUCCUUUGGUGGGAUGUACUGGGAAUUCUCUUAUUGAGGUAUCCGUUGGUGUGCUGGAAAUUUGGGGCACGUAAAGAUUUGUCUUGGAAAAUCCUCUAGAGAUUAAUUCGAUGUUUAUUGAUGGCCAGGCUGAGAGUCGUGUAAUAGACCCUUUUGUAUGUUAAAGGGUGUUCCGGUAGUACAAAAUUGUAUGUAUUUAUCGAUCCUGUUUAAAGAAGUAAUAGAAGUACAUUUAUUUACCAGAUUUACAUUUAUUCAGUAUAUUGGAAAUAAUAAAUUUGGCAGAUUUAUUUAGAAGUUCGAUAUUUGACGUGACAUUUUGACAAAAUUUAAGGAAGAUUGCAGUGUGUUUAUCCAGGCAAAUGAUUUUUUUUAUUGAAGGAAAUAAGGACGGUAAUAGAUUUUAUUUUAUUUUAUGGGAGAAAACAAGAAAGAACAAGGUACAAUUUAGAUUGGGUUAAGGGGUCUAAAAAGGGGACUAAAAUACAAUGAUUUUUAUAUUUAUGUGAAGGAAACAGCUGGUUCUGGUUUAUUUUUUUUUUUAAUUAAUUACUUACUUUUGUUCUUAUAAACUAUUGAAAUCAAAAUUAAUAUUUGUAUGUAAAAAGGGACUUAAAAUUUUGUUGACAUUAUAUUCUCUAUAGUUA